rnacentral:ribozyme from 1 species
AAGAAGAAGAAGGAGAGAGAGAGAGAAAUUUGUCAGUAGAUGAGAUAGAUGAUAAUAUUGUCUGUUUUUUAGUAUUAUGACUUUCUUUCUCUUUCUCUCUCACUUUCUCUUUCUCUUUCUCUCUCUCUU